UUAAAGCAAGGUAAUAACUCUGUUUGCGAUUACGCAAUCCACUUCCGCACGUUGGCCGCGGAGAGUGGUUGGAACAACACAGCGUUAUAUGAUAUCUUUCUGAAAGGACUGUCUUCUGAGAUUCAAGACCUUCUAGUACCCCUGGAUCUACCCUCCAGCCUAGACGCUCUCAUCGCACUCGCUAUCCAUACGGAUAAUCGCCGGAAUCAGCUCCAGUUUGCCAAACAACAUGAACUUAGUCUUACUUACAUUUAAAGAUAAUUUAUUCCAGUCAUGUCUUUAGUUUUUUCAUUUCCUCAUUUAUAACUGUUUCCAUUUGUUUAAUGUUUUCUCCUGAGCCAAAAAUAUUUGUGUCAUCCCCGAAAUUGACCAAUGUUAACCACCUAGAUACUUUACACAUAUCAUUGAUAUACAGGAUAAAUAAUUUGGGGCCCAACACUGACCCCUGGGGCACCCCACAAGCAAUGUCCAAAUAUCCCGAGCAGUGAUUACCCAACUUUACAAACUGUUGCCUUCCUUUCAAAUAACUCUUGAUCCAGUCUAACACCAGUCCCCUUAUCCCAUAUUUUUCCAGUUUGUUGAAUAGUAUGUUAUGAUUAAUUGUAUCAAACGCUUUUUUUAAGAUCGAUGAAUACUCCUAUUGCAUGUUUCUUGUUUAUUGCAUCUGUGAUUUCCUCUAUUGAUUCCAUUAUUGCCUGUGAUCUUGAUCUGUUAAGUAGUUAGUAUUGAGACAGGUCUGUAGUUUGUAAAGUUGUGUUUGCUCCCAGUUUUAUAUAUCGGAAUGACUUUAGCAAUUUUCAUCUGGUUAGGAAAUGUUCCAGUUUGAAAAGACAGAUUGCAGAUGUGUGCUAAUGGCUUAGAUACCCUUUCAAUGACCUGUUUAAUUAAUGACAUAUCAAUGUCAUUAUAAUCUGUAGAUGUUUUAUUUUUACACUUUUUUACUAUGUUGAUAAUUUCAUUUUCUUCUUUCGCUUUCAGGAACAUUGAGUGGGGAUUCCUUAUUAUUAAUUUAUCCAUAUAGUCUCCAUCUGGCCCUGGACUUGGGAUGUUUUUCGCUAGCUCAGGACCAACAUCUACAAAGAACUGAUUAAAACUAUUUGCCACUUCAUCCAUAUUAUAAUUUUCGUUAUUAUUUGUAACAAAAUAUUUAGGCAAUUUGUUUUGUUUAGCACCAUCUCUAAUAAUGUUGUUUAGCAUGUUCCAUAUCCCUUUCAUAUUGUUUCUGUUAUCUUCUAAUUUCUUUUUAUAGUAUUCUUUUUUGCUUAAUCUUAUAAUAUUAGUUAACUUAUUCUUAUAUCUUUUAUAUUUAUCUUCUGUCUCUUUUGUUCUUUGUGUUAUGAAAUUCCUGUAGAGUAAAUUUUUCUUUUUACAUGCAUUUCUUAAACCUUUAGUUAACCAUGGAUUGCUUUUAUGUGCUAGUUUUUUAUUAUAUCUCUUAACGGGACAAUGCUUAUCAUAUAAUGAAGUGAAUGUAAUCAAUAAUUUGUUGUAUGCAUUAUUUACAUCUGUUUCAUUAUAUAUUGCAUCUCAGUCCUUUUCCAUUAAUUCGUGUUUUAGAGUAGCUAUUGUCUCCUCUGUUCUAAUUCGUCUAUAUUGUUUAUAUUCCUCUAUUUCAAUUCUAUUAUAAUUAUUGUCAUAUACUGUGAAUACUGGAAGGUGGUCAGUGAUAUCACUAAUUAAUAACCCACUUAUUGUCUUAUUUUCUAUUACAUUGGUAAAUAUGUUAUCUAUCAGAGUUGCACUAUGAGAUGUUAUUCUGCUGGGUCUAGUGAUAGUAGGGAAGAGACUCAAACUUUGCAUUGAGUUUAAAAAAUCUUCAAUACUUUUCUGAUUGUUGGGGUUUAGUAUAUCGAUAUUAUACUCCCCACGAAUGAAGAUAUUUUUAUUACCCAUUUUUAUUACCAUGCUUUCUAUCCAUUCCUUGAAAUUAUCUAUAUCAGAACCCGGAGUUCUAUAUAAACAGCUGAAAAUUACAUCUUUUUUCUUUUUAAUACAAAUCUGUAUUGUGAGACAUUCAAUCACCUGUGUCAUAGCCUCUACAAUCUUGAAAGUCAAGUUCUGAUCAACAUAUAUUGCAACACCACCAGAAGUCUCACUUGAAAAUGUUCAAAUAUUAUUUGAGAACCAAGCUCAGCCUAUGAAUAAAGAAAUGUUUGGGACAGUGGCGUCAUUAGGCCUGUUUUAGGGGGGCUGAAACCAAAAUAAUUUGGUGUUUUUAUCAUUAUUAUUAUUAUUAUCAAUAUUAUUGUAUUGUAUUUUAUUUUAUUUAUGUAUUUAUUUAUUUAUUUAUGUAUUUAUUUUUUCAAAAUAGUGCUGACAAAUUCGAUAUAAAGUGGCCAGCAUGUGAGUUUAAAUAAAUAAUUAUAUAACCUGUCAUUAUUCACUUAAAUAUGAUCAUAAAUCUGUCAGUUUCCCUUCACUUCAUAGUGUAAGCUGGAGAAUGCCCCUUCAGUGCGUCGUUAUCCAAUCCAUUCCUCUUGUUCAUAUAGAGAACGCCCACAUCACUGAAAACAUUUUUUCCACGUUUUCACUGCGACCUUGCUUACGCUCAUACCUGCAGCAUGUGUACCUUGAAGCACACAGAGCGACUAGAGCAGCAUGAAGAGAAGAACGUGAAUGAAGAAGAAUGGAUGUAAAAAAGUUUUCCAAGAAAGUAAGUAUUCAUCACUGCUGGUAGUAACAGUUAGUGAGCUCCGCCCCCAGUUAACAGAAAGUCUCAUGGAAUUUAUGAAUCAAUAGUUCCCUGUUUGACAAAUAAAAACCUAGCUUGCACACAUAGACAAUCUCUGCGCACGUCUCACCUUAAGCUGCAUUGUGUCAUGUUGUGUUAUGUGUGGAUUUUUUGUGCCCCAUGUGCCUUUAAGUUCUCCCUGUACAUUUUCCUGUGGUCUGUCUCCCUCUGUCUGUCAGUCUUGUUCCCUCCUGGUUUUCUCCUCUGUGCUCCUCCCCCUCGUUACCUCACCUGGCCUCCUCCCUUCUCUCUCUCUCCUCACCUGUUCCUCAUCUGUUCAUCAUGCAGUCAUUGUAUUCUGUCUGUCUGUGUCUGUGUCUGCCUUGAUCCAUAUUCCAGUCCAUGUUCUUUCAGUCCAUGUGUUUCCAGUCUCCCUAUGGAAUGUGUUUUUUGAGUUUUUGCAUUUGUUUGAUUUGAACUUUGGUUUUGAUUUGUACUUCACCUUUUUCUUCAUGCAUUCUUGUACUGUUUUCUUUGCUACUUUGGUUUUUGGUCUUUGGACUUAUUUUGUUUCUUGCACCUUGGUUUUUUGUGGAAUUCAGCUUUUGUAAAAUAAAAGCUUUUUGUUUCCCCAAUCCUGCCUCCUGUUCCAUGAGUAACUGCAUUUGGGUCCAACCUCCUCUAUCCAUAGUUUCCACUUUAAUCCCCCUCGUGACACAUUGUGAAGGCCCAGGUUGUUUAUAGAGUUAAGUUUGCACUCUUUUUACCAUAUACUAUAUUUGGGUGACCUCCUUCAGGAGCAUCAGCUGUGUUUCUCACUUUACCCAUGGAUGCACACUGUGAAACAGGAGCUGAGCUCAUUCAUGUAUUAUCAUCAGUUAAUAAUAGUAAUAAUGUGCUAAUAAGUCAGGGCAGAGGAGCACAGGGAGUGAGAGGGGAGAGACCUCAACUGGAAAGGUGAGCCUAAAGGAUUUCACAGGAUAGAGUCAUUUGUGAUGCAGACAGUCUUGGAGUUUUAUGGAACCCAAUAUAACUCACUUGAGCUUUUAUUGAGGAGAGUAGUGAUUAGAAAAUGGAGAAAGCCAAGAUGAGAUAUAUCUAUCUCUAACCCUAACUUCAAAAUAUUUGGGGGCAAACAAUUAUUGUGUUGUGAGGCUCACAACACAGUAAAUGUGUAAACAUGUGCAAACCUGUGUUUGUUCUUGUACUGUAUUAAAAACAGAAUGAAAUAAUAAUAAAUAAUUUCUCAGUCUUUGUUAGCUGUAAUGUUUAGCUGAAAUGUUGUUGCUCUCAUCCUCCCCAUCCUUAAAACUUAGUGACGCCCCUGGUUAGGGACGGAUCAGGUUCAAAUCUGUAUGACACAAUAAAUGUUGCAGUGUGUGGCCUAUUAUCCUGCUAAUUAACGUUGAGACAGGUGGUGCAUGCUACUGGAGGACCAGGUUAGGUAUUCUGUAACCAUGACUGCAAAGCGAGAUCAAUACAUUUUAAGUAGGAAUCAUCUGGCUCACGCGGUUUUAUGUCGUUUGUGCACAUUUUUCAAAGGUAGCACUAGACAGGAGCUAGUUGGAAAUAAAGUGAGGCGGUGUGUACUGUGUAUACUGUGUGCACCGUAGUAACCUCAGUAAAAUUAGUGGAGCUGUUCACUCAUCUGGUAACUGUACAACAGAGCAGUCUAUAAUUCAGGACCGCACUGGAUCGAAAGCCGGUUGUGGAGGCUCCUCCAGCGGCUCUGAGGCUCACCGCGGAUCAGCUGUCAGGACUGGAAGUCCAGCAGGCGGAGGGACAUCUUCGACCGAGCGCGACCACAGAUGUCCGUGUAUGUCCGUAGUGACACAGACGGUGUGUGCAGCUCAGAGAGUGGAGCGUCAGGCCCUUAGAGAGAACUUGUCUGUCUUCGUGACUCUGGCACAAUGCCGCGGUUGACAGCUGAAUUAAUGUUACCACGCAUUAUAACUUUGUAUCCAAUCCUGCCGAUAUAAACGUUAAACGUUAAAGUUUAGUCAUUGAGGCUGCACCGUAAUACACUGUUACCUCCAAAACACUAGCAUAAAAUGCAAAGAUUUCCUUUCAGAACUCAAUUACAAAAUGAAAACAAUUAUUAGAGUAGGAUACACGAUCAUUUUCUAAAGAAUAAUCAUGAUUAGGAACUUCGAGUUGCUUUAAAUAAAUACUGAGGCUUGUGCCAACAGUGAGGGAAAACAGAGGGCAAUGAUAACACUAAUGACAAGCCAGGAAAAAUUAUUUCUUGUAGGCUGUCAUCAUAUCCUUUAAAUAUCUAUGCUUAAACAUAUAAUCUUGUGUUUACAUCCACAUUACCAUUACUGGAGGUUAGCUCUGAAAGUUACUGCUGCCACCACCUGGAUACAGAGGAGGAGAACCAUUCCUUUGUUAUCUCCAGUCUGUUGACUAAAUACAGCGUCAGUUCAUCUUAAGAAACCCAGAGAAAAUACAACAGUUGGAAAAACUAUAUUCUCAUGAUUUCUACAUGGUACAGGCCUUACCUACCACAGCAGGCCAGGUGCAAAAGUUUGAUCUUAAGCCUGUUGCAACAUUUUAAAAGAUAGUAAAACCAUGUUCUGUCAAAAAGGGACACAUUCUAAGAUGAUGAAUCCUAAAAAGAUGUGACUUUCAGCCAAAAGAGCAGAGCCCAGCCUCCUGGACACUCUCCUCUCACAUCCAAGGCAAUAAUAGGGCCAUCAUUCCUUUCUUCUGCUUUUUUUCCCCUCCAGAGGAUGGUAGGUUGCAACAGCAGGGUGCCUACGGGCUUUAAAAAACAAAAAAAAAAAAAAAAAAAACUGCAGCAGCUGGCAAGAAAAUAAUUCUUGUGUGAUGGCCAGUUUGGUCUAAGUGACACAAAUGGCAUAUGAAAUUGGGCUGUAUGAAAAGUGUUUAUAGCUAAUUAUCUCAGGAAUAAGAACUCUGAAUUUCUUUUUUUAAAGCCGUGGCACUCAUUGUGGGGUCCUCUGUGAUUCCUUGAAGGGGUUUCCAAGGGUCCUCAAAGGGGCUUCGUGGGGUCCUCCAACAAAAUGAAGAAAGGUUCAGUUUCACUGUUAUAUUUUUUCCUGUGAAGUUUGGACAGAGAAUGAAAGUUUUAUGGUGUCUUUGAAAGACAUUAUUUAGGCCAAAUGUUUAUUGAGUUUAUUAAGAUAAAAACACUCAAAUAGUGUGAUUAUUCUUAUUGUCAGGGCUGUGUGCUAUCAUGUGGGAAGGACAAUGUAUCAGGAAAAUUCUUUAACCAAAAUCUUAUCAACACGGCUCAAUAUAAAGGACUGCGCAUGGACUGGUGUUUAAAGGAACUGCCCCGGUCACCUGUUGCUGUGUUUCCAUUCACACAGGCCAUUCAAGGUUCAUAGACAACUCAUCCCACUGCAGUGAAUGUAAUGGUGUCUGUUUAUGUCAACAUGCACAGCUCAUUCAAAUGAAUUCCCAUUUAAUUGUCAGAGUGGUAACAUUAAACAGCUUAUGUAGGGUCUCCACAGGUCACAUGAAUAAAAGUAGCCUCCGGCCUAAUUAGCGCAUCUAUUUUCUCCGGUCUAAAAAGCAGGGGUGCAUCCAGCUCUCUGCAUGGUUACCAUCUCUAAUUGCCUCUAAUUCAAAACCCCUAGUAAUGUUUUCAAACUUGACCAGGUGUGGUUUGAAUGGAAGCAGGGGUUGGCUUUAAAAGUCCUGUUCAGUCUUGUAUCUGGAGGCAAACCGCUUGUGAUGUUGACACAGAGAGCUGAAGUUUGCUUGACACUCCAGUUUGUUACUGCUGAUGUGUGUGUGGCCUGGUUUGUUGUUCUUCAGAUAGUAUGGUACAGACAGAUUUAUCAUAAAAGACCUCUUAAGCAGUCACCAAAACAUUUCCAGUUAUGUGCUUCUGAAUAAAAGUUGUAUUUUUACUCAAAUAUGUCUUAAUGAUUCUGCUGACUUAAAGAUGUUCUGCUCAUCAUCCUCAUCAAUAAUACUGGCAUGUGUGCUUUGAUUUUACUGUUUCAUUCAUGAUAAAAAUGUCAAUUAUUAAUGAAAAAAAAAAAAAAAUCUUUGACAAUCCAUUUCCAAUCCAGUGGGCUAUACAAUGGUUACUGAGCUUAAGAAGUGGAGAUGUAAAAGCUUCUCACUCUACAGAGGUACGUUUAAUUCUUUAGCUUCCUGAAAAAAAUCAUAUUACCUAAUUUGGACAGCAGUGAGUUGCCUUUACCUUGUAAAUACAGCAAGGUUAAUCCGUUUUUCAUCAAAAAAAUAAUACCUGUGUAGUGUUGCAGUGUCAAUAUCAAUUCCUCAUUAAUCAAUCCAGACUUGGUAUGAUAUUACUAAACAUGUGCAUGUUUUUUAGCAGAGAAAUGUGCCCGAUUUUUAGGAAGCUCUACAACAUUUUGAGAGAUGCACAGUUCUUUGUUUCAGCCGAAGAUGUUGCCGCGGUGAACCCUUUUCCAGCAGGCUCUGAGGGACGGCUCCAUCAACAUGUUCAGAAUGUGUAGUGUGUCAGGGCCAUAGUGUGCAGACAUCAGUAACACAUACUUGCUAUCACUUUUUUACAGACAGUGCUGCACAAAUUCAUUUUCUUGGACAAACUGAAAAUGAAAUGUGUCAGAUGAAAAAUUUCACACACUCUUAUAACAGUAACAGUAUUAUAACCCCAUUUACAAACAUUGUUAUAUUACUUUUAAAACAUGUGCCAUUGCUUCUGGGUGAAACUGAAAACAGGACUUAACAUGAAGUACAUAUACAAAUGUUAUUGUAUUUGUUUUUUGCUUUACAAAUGUUGUCAUUUAUAAUAUGCAGCUUAAAUUAUAUAGUGUAUCAUAUUAGUGCUAUAUUUGUUAGUACUCCAAACACGACAUACAACACAUGGCUUCAGUGACUAAAUAAAAUAUUUCCUCUGAACACAUUUUGAUAUAUAAUUAAAGGUCAUUCAUAGUGUGCAAUCAGCAAAAUGUGCAGUCUCCACAAUUAAACAGAUUUAAUAGAAUAUUAAAACAUAAGCUGUUGUAGACACACAAUUCUAAAUGACUUUAAAGAAGAUUAAAACCUCACAAUUCAACCUUGAACAGUAGAUCAGCACUGUGCAGUUGUGUGUAUAUUACUAAUGUCAAUAUUUCUGUCUGAUUAGUAACUUCAUAAGCAUGCUGGGAGUUAAUUCAGCCUGUCCACAUGUCUUUGUUCACACUGUGACUGAAUGUUUCCAUGGUGCAACUCUGUAUGGCUGCAGUCUGCCUCCACUUUCAACACCGUACUACCCUCUAGUGAUGGAUAGUGACUACUGCACCUUCAGCUCCACCACCACAUAACAAACAAUAUACUGAGCAUCCCUAAGAUGCAAGAACAGCGUCUGUUGAUGUGAGCUCUUUUUACACUGUCGAAUCAAAUAUUAGGGAAUGAAAUACCACUAUGCUAUUACAGGUUGAUAUAAACUAACCAGCACUGAUGCACAGUUCAUUUAUCUCUACUCAGAGUAUAUUCAGUAUUGCACUUGGUAUUCCACAAAGUUAGGACACUUGCAAAAGACAGAUGAAAAAAAGCAUAGUCAAAAUCUAAUGUCUUGUUUUAUUCUAAAAUGAUGCACUCACUUCCAGAUGAAUUCAAGGAAACCUGAGCUAAUAUAAAUGUAUAUUAGUGAUGUAAUUGUUCUUCAAAAAUGAUAUAUAUCCUCACUCUUGCUAUGUAUUUUAAGAUAAUAUUUUUCUUGAAAAAAUCUCAUUCUCAACAGAAUUGCGUAUGAUACAAGCACACAUUUAGAAUAAUUACAUAGAGCUCUGUAAAAUAAUGGUUCAGUGUCUAUGAAUUUAGCAAACACACCAGUUAAGAAUUAAAAUUAAAAUAUCAGGAUGUUGGCAUUUAUUCAGUUUUCCCCAAGCUGCAAUAGAAGAUCUAAAGACACAUGCUCACACUUAAACAUCUAGAUCACAAAAACCACACAGAACCCAAUCAAGUCUCUGGUCUGAUAUCAAUUAACUCAUUACAGUUUGUACAUUGCCUGACUGCAUGGCACAAAGGUCCAUGUUCAGCAAAUUAAAAA